rnacentral:rRNA from 1 species
AGGACGAACGCUGGCGGCGUGCCUAACACAUGCAAGUCGAACGGGACCAGGGGCAACUCUGGUUCAGUGGCGGACGGGUGCGUAACACGUGAGGAACAUGACCUUCGGCGGGGGAUAGCCGGCCCAACGGCCGGGUAAUACCGCGUAAGACCAUUUGGGGACAUCCUCGAGUGGUGAAAGCAGCAAUGCGCCGAUGAAGUGCCUCGCGGCCUAUCAGCUAGUUGGUGAGGUAACGGCUCACCAAGGCGACGACGGGUAGC